rnacentral:misc_RNA from 1 species
GAUGAAGAACGUAGCGAAAUGCGAUAAGUAAUGUGAAUUGCAGAAUUCAGUGAAUCAUCGAAUCUUUGAACGCACAUUGCGCCCGCCAGUAUUCUGGCGGGCAUGCCUGUUCGAGCGUCAUUUCAACCAUCAAGCCCCAGGCUUGUGUUGGAGCCCUGCGGCUGCCGCAGCCUCCCAAAACCAGUGGCGGGCUCGCUAUCACACCGAGUGCAGUAGUUUACUCUUCGCUCAGGGCGUGUGGCGGGUGCUAGCCGUAAAACCCCCAACUUCUCAAGGUUGACCUCGGAUCAGGUAGGGAUACCCGCUGAACUUAAGCAUAUCAAUAAGCGGAGGA